rnacentral:misc_RNA from 1 species
GCGUCCUUGAGGUUGCAGCCGAAGGAGUCCGCUCCGGUUAUGAUUUUGAGAGGCUGGGGAGUAGCGGCGACGGUAGAUUCAGCCAUUUGUGCUGUUGGCAGCGGCGGUGUAGAGGUCGUAACAGGGAGUGAUGGAGUACGGGACACCAAUUAUCUGAAAUUAAAUCAUUAAAUUCUAGAAAGUAGAUCGACAUCGGGCCAGAUUCAUCCAAAAAAAUAAUAAUUAACUGAAAUAAAAUAUGAGGAUAAAGUAUACUUUAAUAUAUGUACAGUAAUACCAUGGCG